GGGGAUGUAGCUCAGCGGAAGAGCGCUUGCUUUACAUGCAAGAGACCAUGGGAUCAACCCCCAGCAUCUCCA